GCCGGGGUUAGGGUGCGUAUACAUGCAGUCGAGCGAAUGGAUUAAGAGCUUGCUCUUAUGAAGUUAGCGGCGGACGGGUGAGUAACACGUGGGUAACCUGCCCAUAAGACUGGGAUAACUCCGGGAAACCGGGGCUAAUACCGGAUAACAUUUUGAACUGCAUGGUUCGAAAUUGAAAGGCGGCUUCGGCUGUCACUUAUGGAUGGACCCGCGUCGCAUUAGCUAGUUGGUGAGGUAACGGCUCACCAAGGCAACGAUGCGUAGCCGACCUGAGAGGGUGAUCGGCCACACUGGGACUGAGACACGGCCCAGACUCCUACGGGAGGCAGCAGUAGGGAAUCUUCCGCAAUGGACGAAAGUCUGACGGAGCAACGCCGCGUGAGUGAUGAAGGCUUUCGGGUCGUAAAACUCUGUUGUUAGGGAAGAACAAGUGCUAGUUGAAUAAGCUGGCACCUUGACGGUACCUAACCAGAAAGCCACGGCUAACUACGUGCCAGCAGCCGGGGUAAUACAAUA
rnacentral:rRNA from 1 species